rnacentral:rRNA from 1 species
UACGUAGGUGGCAAGCGUUGUCCGGAUUUACUGGGCGUAAAGAGCGCGCAGGCGGUCGUUCAAGUCGAGUGUGAAAGCCCCCGGCUCAACUGGGGAGGGUCACUCGAUACUGAUCGACUCGAAGGCAGGAGAGGGAAGUGGAAUUCCCGGUGUAGUGGUGAAAUGCGUAGAUAUCGGGAGGAACACCAGUGGCGAAGGCGGCUUUCUGGUCUGCUCUUGACGCUGAGGCGCGAAAGCUAGGGUAGCAAACGGG